UGGGGAAUAUUGCGCAAUGGGCGAAAGCCUGACGCAGCGACGCCGCGUGAGGGAUGAAGGUUUUCGGAUCGUAAACCUCUGUCAGAAGGGAAGAAACCGCACUGUGCUAAUCAGCAGUGCCUUGACGGUACCUUCAAAGGAAGCACCGGCUAACUCCGUGCCAGCAGCCGCGGUAAUACGGAGGGUGCAAGCGUUAAUCGGAAUUACUGGGCGUAAAGCGCACGUAGGCUGCUUUGUAAGUCAGGGGUGAAAUCCCACGGCUCAACCGUGGAACUGCCUUUGAUACUGCUUAGCUUGAAUCCGGGAGAGGGUGGCGGAAUUCCAGGUGUAGAAGUGAAAUCCGUAGAUAUCUGGAGGAACAUCAGUGGCGAAGGCGGCCACCUGGACCGGUAUUGACGCUGAGGUGCGAAAGCGUGGGGAGCAAACAGG
rnacentral:rRNA from 1 species